rnacentral:rRNA from 1 species
CCUACGGGAGGCUGCAGUGGGGAAUAUUGGACAAUGGGGGGAACCCUGAUCCAGCCAUGCCGCGUGUGUGAAGAAGGCCCUCGGGUUGGAAAGCACUUUCAGUGAGGAAGAACGCCUGGUGGUUAAUACCCAUCAGGAAAGACAUCACUCACAGAAGAAGCACCGGCUAACUCCGUGCCAGCAGCCGCGGUAAUACGGAGGGUGCGAGCGUUAAUCGGAAUUACUGGGCGUAAAGCGCGCGUAGGUGGCUUGAUAAGCCGGUUGUGAAAGCCCCGGGCUCAACCUGGGAACGGCAUCCGGAACUGUCAAGCUAGAGUGCAGGAGAGGAAGGUAGAAUUCCCGGUGUAGCGGUGAAAUGCGUAGAGAUCGGGAGGAAUACCAGUGGCGAAGGCGGCCUUCUGGACUGACACUGCCACUGAGGUGCGAAAGCGUGGGUAGCAAACAGGAUUAGAUACCCCGGUAGUC